GACGGAGGGUGCAAACGUUGUUCGGAAUUACUGGGCAUAAAGCGCACGUAGGCGGCCAAGUCAGUCUGUUGUGAAAGCCCUCGGCUCAACCGGGGAACUGCAAUGGAUACUGCUUGGCUAGAGGACGGUUGGGGUGAGUGGAACUCUUGGUGGAGCGGUGAAAUGCGUAGAUAUCAAGAGGAACACCAGUGGCGAAAGCGGCUCACUGGACCGUAUCUGACGCUGAGGUGCGAAAGCUAGGGUAGCGAAC
rnacentral:rRNA from 1 species